rnacentral:lncRNA from 1 species
UUUUUCUAUAUAAUGGCAUAUUCUUUAGAGAUUUUUUCUAAAUAGUUAAAAUUUUAUGAGGAAUAUAGACAAAAUUUUAGUAUCGUUCGUUAGCGAAUUUUCACGGUUUUUUCAAUAUUAAAUUGAAUAAAAGUGAUACUUCUAAGCCGAUUUUCGAACAUCGGUCAAUUCCAAACGAAAGAGCAUACUUUUUUCUAAAUAAUGGCAUAUUCUUGAGAGAUCUUUUCUAAAUAGUUAAAAUUUUUUGAAGAAUAUAGACAAAAUUUGAGUAUCGUUCGAUAGCGAAUUUUCAUGGUUAUUUCAAUUAUAAAUUGAAAAAAAGUGAUAUUUCUAAGCUGA